rnacentral:rRNA from 1 species
UGGUGCGUGCGGCAACUCGACACACAAUUGAGAUCUGGUUGAUUCUGCCAGUAGUCAUAUGCUUGUUUCAAGGACUUAGCCAUGCAU